rnacentral:rRNA from 1 species
CUGGCGGCUGCCCUAACACAUGCAAGUCGAACGGCAGCACAGCAGUAGCAAUACUGUGGGUGGCGAGUGGCGGACGGGUGAGUAAUGCAUCGGGACCUACCUGAACGUGGGGGAUAACGUAGGGAAACUUACGCUAAUACCGCAUACGUCCUACGGGAGAAAGCGGGGGACCUUCGGGCCUCGCGCGGUCAGACGGACCGAUGUUCGAUUAGCUAGUUGGUAGGGUAAUGGCCUACCAAGGCGACGAUCGAUAGCUGGUCUGAGAGGAUGAUCAGCCACACUGGAACUGAGACACGGUCCAGACUCCUACGGGAGGCAGCAGUGGGGAAUAUUGGACAAUGGGCGCAAGCCUGAUCCAGCAAUGCCGCGUGUGUGAAGAAGGCCUUCGGGUUGUAAAGCACUUUUAUCAGGAACGAAAUACUACCGGUUAAUAACCGGUGGGGCUGACGGUACCUGAGGAAUAAGCACCGGCUAACUUCGUGCCAGCAGCCGCGGGUAAUA